rnacentral:lncRNA from 1 species
CUCGCUUUCCUAAAUCUUAAAGUGAUAUUGCGAUAUUGUAAUAGGUUUCUACUCCAAGGAUGGCUGCAGGAACGAGCAGGAAGAUAUCUGCAAGGUCUCACACCAGAAGAGCCAACGAGAGCUCCGGUCCCAGCUUUCCUUCAGGUGAGUUCAAUUUGCUUCCAAAAACUGUACAUUCUAAUUGUUUACACCUUGUUUCUUGAAUCUCUGGUAAAUGUUCAGGGAUCUUUCCUACAGUACUUCUGGUUUUGCUUGCUGUGAUUUUGGCUUGGGGUUAUCAAGCAAUCCAACCACCUC